rnacentral:rRNA from 1 species
CCGCGACAAGCGGUGGAGUAUGUGGUUUAAUUCGAUGCAACGCGAGAACCUUACCUGGUCUUGACAUCCCGGAGACCCUUAGGAACUAGGGGUGCUUCCAUCUGGAAGAAUCUGGAGACAGGUGCUGCAUGGCUGUCGUCAGCUCGUGUCGUGAGAUGUUGGGUUAAGUCCCGCAACGAGCGCAACCCUUGCCUUUAGUUGCCAGCAGUUCGGCUGGGCACUCUAAAGGGACUGCCGGUGUUAAACCGGAGGAAGGUGGGGAUGACGUCAAGUCCUCAUGGCCUUUAUGACCAGGGCUACACACGUACUACAAUGGCCGAUACAAAGGGCAGCGACACUGCGAGGUGAAGCCAAUCCCGUAAAAUCGGUCUCAGUCCGGAUUGGAGUCUGCAACUCGACUCCAUGAAGUUGGAAUCGCUAGUAAUCGUGGAUCAGCAUGCCACGGUGAAUACGUUCCCGGGCCUU